rnacentral:rRNA from 1 species
CCUACGGGUGGCAGCAGUGAGGAAUAUUGGUCAAUGGUCGCGAGACUGAACCAGCCAAGUCGCGUGAGGGAAGACGGUACAGUGUAUUGUAAACCUCUUUUGUCAGGGAACAAAAGACGCCACGCGUGCCGGGCCGAGAGUACCCGAAGAAAAAGCAUCGGCUAACUCCGUGCCAGCAGCCGCGGUAAUACGGAGGAUGCGAGCGUUAUCCGGAUUUAUUGGGUUUAAAGGGUGCGCAGGCGGACUAUUAAGUCAGCGGUAAAAGUGCGAGGCUCAACCCCGUCGAGCCGUUGAAACUGGUUGUCUCGAGUGAGCGAGAAGUAUGCGGAAUGCGCGGUGUAGCGGUGAAAUGCAUAGAUAUCACGCAGAACUCCGAUUGCGAAGGCAGCAUACCGGCGCUCCACUGACGCUCAGGCACGAAAGUGUGGGUAUCGAACAGGAUUAGAUACCCGGGUAGUC